ACCAGACUCCUACGGGAGGCAGCAGUGGGGAAUAUUGCACAAUGGGGGAUACCCUGAUGCAGCAACGCCGCGUGGGUGAAGAAGUAUUUCGGUAUGUAAAGCUCUAUCAGCAGGGAAGAAAAUGACGGUACCUGACUAAGAAGCCCCGGCUAACUACGUGCCAGCAGCCGCGGUAAUACGUAGGGGGCAAGCGUUAUCCGGAUUUACUGGGUGUAAAGGGAGCGUAGACGGCAGCGCAAGUCUGGAGUGAAAUGCCGGGGCCCAACCCCGGAACUGCUCUGGAAACUGUGAAGCUGGAGUGCAGGAGAGGUAAGCGGAAUUCCUGGUGUAGCGGUGAAAUGCGUAGAUAUCAGGAGGAACACCGGCGGCGAAGGCGGCUUACUGGACUGUAACUGACGUUGAGGCUCGAAGGCGUGGGGAGCAAACAGGAUUAGAUACCCGAGUA
rnacentral:rRNA from 1 species